GACGAACGCUGGCGGCGUGCUUAACACAUGCAAGUCGAACGGAAAGGCCCUGCUUUUGUGGGGUGCUCGAGUGGCGAACGGGUGAGUAACACGUGAGUAACCUGCCCUUGACUUUGGGAUAACUUCAGGAAACUGGGGCUAAUACCGGAUAGGAGCUCCUGCUGCAUGGUGGGGGUUGGAAAGUUUCGGCGGUUGGGGCUGGACUCGCGGCUUAUCAGCUUGUUGGUGGGGUAGUGGCUUACCAAGGGUUUGACGGGUAGGCGGCCUGAGAGGGUGACCGGCGACCUUGGGCCUGCGAUACGGCCCAGACUCCUACGGGAGGCAGCAGUGGGGAAUAUUGCACAAUGGGCGGAAGCCUGAUGCAGCAACGCCGCGUGCGGGAUGACGGCCUUCGGGUUGUAAACCGCUUUCGCAUGUGACGAAGCGUGAGUGACGGUAAUGGGUAAAGAAGCACCGGCUAACUACGUG
rnacentral:rRNA from 1 species